CCCCCCGUUCGCUCUUCUCUACCCACGACCCCCCAUCCCAAGUCUAUCAUGUCCAACCCUAGCCGCAUCUGCCUCCCCCCACGCGAUCUGGUCCUCCUGCACCCGUGCGUGCCCGCCUCCCGCCUCCACCUGCCGCCGUUGUUGUCUAUUUCCCAUCUCGAGGACACGCGGCGAGAUGCAGUCCGUCGCCCUCGACAACCAGCUGCAACAAGCCGGAGCAGAGGCCGCGGAGAGCUCGGUAAUGGGGCGUUCAACAUCCAGGGAGCCAGGCUGGAGGAGACGCCACUGAGGGAGUGGUCUUCGACCUCCAGCAUCCAGGGAGCCUGGCCGGAGCCAAGGCCGUCGGCGGCUCAGUAGCCCUCCCGAAUCUCGGGAGCGGCCUAAUCCGUAGGCGCGUUCUGGAUGGACGCGCACCACUCCGUGCCUCCACUACAUCAAGCAGAGUUCUUGCUCCUACAGAUCUUGGGUCCCCUGCCAUCCGUGCUAUGAAGAAGACCAACAUCACAAUUUUUCUUGAGCAUUGGAACAAUCUGCAUCUUGAAAAGAUAAAUGCACAAAAGGUACUAAAAGGGUGUCCUACACAACCAGUACGCGGCUGUUGUUAUGUAUAUAACAGAGGGUGGCACAAACAGGACUCCCAAAUUAUAAAGAGUUAAAAUCUUGGCGAGACUGGAAGGUCAUAGCCUCUCAAGAUUAUUUAAUGUGACAAUUUUUGUUUUCUCUAUUUUUAGGGAGCUUCUCUUCUCAUUGUGACAUGAAAUGUAAAGAAUAAUAAUAAUUGCCAAAGUGUCUACUUCAAAUAAAUAUUCGCAACUGCUAUAUUGAUCAAUUGUGAUUUUUAUUAAAUUUAUAUACUAUACAUAUUUUCUUAAAUAUUUUUGUAGUUUCCAGAAGAUGUCUGGGCACGACGCCUUAUAUGAACUUCUCUUCAAAAUUUCUUUGAGAGGCUUCUUAACGAGUGGAUGAGCUGGAUGAUAUGGAGAAGCGGAAGGCAAUCGGGGAGUCAAUGUUUGCAAUGCUCAAGUAGUGUCACGGUAUUUCAGUCCUAUGUUCGAGUUUUGCAGAAAAAAGGUGAGAAUCUUCCAGUUUUCUUUCUGCCAGUCUCUGUGUGAUACUAUUUUCAUAUAAUUUCAAAUUAAAGUACUUGUGCAAAAAUGGACAAAUAACAGAAAGAAUAGGGUAAAUUAGGAUUUGAAAUUAUUCUUGUGGCGUCAUGUUAACCGUUGGGAGCUGCAAGAAGACAUGAUGAUAUCCUUCUAAGUUGAAGUUGAAUGUUUGCUUCAGAACCAGUGAAAUCAAAAUUUAACUGCAAGGAAUUGAUGUAAUUGUGAUAACAAACUCAGAUGGUCAGUUGAGUGCCAAGUUUUAGAUAUGUGUGUGUGGAGUACUGCAGUUCAGCUUUGGGAAGUUAUUUGGCAGAGCAUGAUCAUGGACAGGGAUGUGUGGUUCCAUGGAGAAUCUAAGCUAUCUCCCUAUGGUCGCUUUUAACUGACCUCAAUUUGGUUUAUGUAGGACCUGUGCUACGAAAGAUGGAUAAAUAACGUAACAAUAGAUUAUAUUAUUAAUGUUAUUAUUACAAAAGGAAGAGAUCAGUGAUUUGAUUUGUCCAAUUAAUUUCUGUCUGGUUACUUAGUUCAACUGCCUAUGACACAUCAGUUGGAAGGAUUAUUACAAAAUAAUGUAGCCUUUUCAUACAUAUUUGCAUCUUUCUAAGAUGAAUGCUUGCUUGCUGUAAUAGGAUUUGGGACCAGAUGGAGAAUGUACUUCUUUUUGCACUUGCUUCUCUCAUAUUUUUGUCUUAGAUUUGUGCAUUGCUGCGCAAUUUUAAGAUGCUAAGCAAGUGUUUCUUUCAUUAGGUCUUGUUGUUGUUGCAUGAUUAUGAUUCUCUCUUUUUUUUUGAAACAAUGUCGGUGCCAAAUACUAGGACUACAGAGUUAGAUUUACAUUGAUGUCAUUGUCCAAUAAUUUUCUUUCUGUAUAAUUAAAUACUUGUCUUUAACAAGAGGGAAUAGGUAACAUAAAUUUUACAACCACUAUUUCUUUCUGAAUAUUAAUUACUUGUCCUUUUUUUGCUCCAAGUGAUAUUUGAAAUUGUGCACACUGAUUUUUUUUUUGACAUGGAGAAGCUGAACCUAAUGAAUAGGGGGGCACUCUUUUUUGCAUGAUUCUUCUAGCUAACUAAAUUAAAAAAAUCCUAGAGAAGGAAACUGUUACUUGGCCAAUAUACAUUAUUUAGUGCGUUCUUUAAUCAGAGCCUAUUUGUUCCCUUACUAAUGCUUAUCACACUAGAACUGAAUAUGCUCAUGUUGCAUAGAUUUUGAUUUAGUGACCAUGCACCUAAAGAGAAUGUCGAUUGAGAUUUGGGAACAACCCAAGUACCUGGCUGUUUCUACCCAGCGGCGGCAGUGGCUAAUUGAAGUGGGAAAUGGAUGACAGCGGGUGGAAGACACCGUCGUGCCAGGACGUGGCCGUGCGGACGCGCUGCCGCGAUGAGUCCACAACGAUGGCAACAGGGACGCAGCGCAGGAGCAACAGAGAAGUAAAGGGCAGCGACGGGGCGCUGCAGGGAGACGCCGUCCCAUGGUGUGGUGAGUCGUCGGCGCAAAGAAGGGAAUCAUAAUGCAGCUGCCGCGGUAGCAGAGCCCUAGGCUGGCUUUAGAACUAGAGGCAGAAGUUCGAAAUAUGCAGACCAAUGAUGAAUGUACUAAUUUCGAAAUAGAUUUCUUUUAUGUUCAUGUGGCUAUCUGUAUAACUUGCUGUGAACAUGGAUUUCCCAUGGAUAUUAUAUUUAUUGGAAGAAAUAAACUUGAUGAA